rnacentral:misc_RNA from 1 species
GGGGACCCGAGGGAUGUGAUCUGCGGGGCGGUGGAGAAGGCCGGCGCGGACAUGGUGGUGAUGGGGAGCCAUGGUUACGGUUUCCUGCAGAGGACGCUGCUGGGGAGCGUCAGCAACCACUGCGUCCAGCACUGCAAGUGCCCCGUCGUCGUCGUCAAGAGGCCCGGCACCAACGCCAAGGCCUCUUGAUGCGCCAACUCCGCGGUCCAGGAUGCAAUCUGUGGAAUGUUGUGAUAAUAUGGGUGUAUGUAU